AGUUGAUGCUACUGCCGGGCUCUGCUGGGUAUCUAGAACACUCUCCAUGUACACCUGUGCCAGGUCUGGAGUGGGAUGCAGAAGGAGUCUAGCUCAGCCACUCGAGGAAAUGACAGCAAGUGCUGAACUGAGGCCCUACACAUACAAAGGAAGCCAAGUCCCAACCGCCAUGACUCACCCACGGCACCUUCGAAUGACACAAAGCCCUAGGUUCAAGCGGGAAGACUGCCGCCACUCCCCAGCCUGCCUAGCUGCAGUGUGAGACUCCAACUCCAGCAAAGCAGCACACUAUGUAGAAGCAGCAGCCAUGCGGCUCAGGUUGCCUUCAUCCCCAGCACUGCCCACACGCGAGAAGACAGAGCUGGUAGGAUGGGGAGUGUCUAAGAGGCCCUGGGCUGUUCCAGCACCCUUGCAUAGGGAGCGGUGGCACUCACAGCACUGGGGAAGUGGAAGCAGAAGGAUCAGGAAGGAGUUCAGGGUCAGCCUCUGCUACAGUGCUUUCAAGACCAACUUAGGCUACAUGUGACCUUGCCUUAAAAAAGGAGGGGGAAGCGGGCAAAUCCAUGUUUUUCCUUUCUAUGGGGUCCCCUGUGGCUGCACCACAGCACCUUAGUGGCCUGGCUAGAACUCUUACCCAGGAAGGCAGCAAUGUUCUCAAUGUGCGACUUCUGCAGUGCCUCCACGGCUGAGCUCUUAACCUGGAUCCUGGACGACAAUGAGCUGGUUAGUGCCAGCAGCCUGCAACCCAACUGUCCAGAUGUCCCUCUCAACCUUCCACUCACACACAAAGUCACCAUGAAGGAAGGACAGGGACAGAUGCUGCCAAGGGAACACAUACAGCCAACCAGGGGAGAGCGGGAAGCUGGGGACUCUCUGGUGGCGGGCUCUGAAGACAGUGGCAGGAAGGAGCGGCCAGGAGGGACCCAGGAGACAAGCGGCUAGUGGACUCUUCAGAAGGACGGCAGGCACCACAGGCCCACACCCACAUCGUCCUUGCUGGUGACCCAUGAAGGGUCACCAGGUGCAGGACAACAGAGUCCUGCCGCCCAUCUGCCUUUCCAGUAUGAAAAAAUUUCUUUUCUUAGUGGAGCAGUGAGCCUGGCACAGGUAGAUCAGAAACAAGUCCUUGGUGGGGGCAAAGACCCCAGGAUGGAUCCCUGAGAAUAACUUCUAUCUCUCUGCCCUUGAGAUCCAGCUCCCUGUAGAUCCCCUGCACCUCAUGUAAUAAGACCUUCAACCUGAAAUUGGUGUCAAAUAAAAUCUAUUGUCCUUCCUA